rnacentral:rRNA from 1 species
AGGAUGCUGGGCGCAGCCUGAUCCAGCAAUGCCGCGUGAGUGAAGAAGGCCUUCGGGUUGUAAAGCUCUUUUGUCAGGGAAGAAACGGCUGAGGUUAAUACCUUCGGCUAAUGACGGUACCUGAAGAAUAAGCACCGGCUAACUACGUGCCAGCAGCCGCGGUAAUACGUAGGGUGCAAGCGUUAAUCGGAAUUACUGGGCGUAAAGCGUGCGCAGGCGGUUUUGUAAGUCUGUCGUGAAAGCCCCGGGCUCAACCUGGGAAUUGCGAUGGAGACUGCAAGGCUUGAAUCUGGCAGAGGGGGGUAGAAUUCCACGUGUAGCAGUGAAAUGCGUAGAGAUGUGGAGGAACACCGAUGGCGAAGGCAGCCCCCUGGGUCAAGAUUGACGCUCAUGCACGAAAGCGUGGGGAGCAAACAGGAUUAGAUACCCUGGUAGUCCACGCCCUAAACGAUGUCUACUAGUUGUCGGGUUUUAAUUAACUUGGUAACGCAGCUAACGCGUGAAGUAGACCGCCUGGGGAGUACGGUCGCAAGAUUAAAACUCAAUGAAAUUGACGGA